GCCAGCAUAGUGUAGUGGUUUGAACAUUGGACUACUGCUCUGGAGAUCAGAGUUCAAUUCCCUGCUCGAGCA